GGUUACUUGGGAUAAACUAACUGGAGGACAAGCAAGACACCUUUGAAAAAAGUGGAAUUGAGGGCCUUCUUAUUUUUGUGAAAGUACAAGCAGUGGACAAGAAUGAACCCCGUGAAUAUGAACAGUCUGAACGUAUCCAUCUCUGGGAACCAGCACGCGUAUCAGUAUGCCGUCUAUGAGUCUCCGCUGUAUAAGGACUACAGACCUCCAGCCAGAGAUCUCAUCCAGCUUCCCAGAACCUUGCUCUACCUGAUGAUGGCCGCGGUGGUGGUGGUCGCUGUCGCUUAUGCCAUUGUGGGACAUUUAAUUAAAGACCUCGCGCAUGACAUCUUGGACUGGGCUUUGGGUCCAGACGAGGAGAUCUUAAAGGCCAACAGUGAGGCAGGUGAUGAUGGUUCCACGCACAUACCACCAGCCCUCACACACGCCCACCCCAACGCCUUCCAUGUUUGGGACCAGGACGACGUGGUCAUCCCCCUCUCUCCAGUGGACAGCCCUCUAACCAGCCCUCUUUUGACUGCCAUCCCUUUUAUUCCUCACUUCUUCCCCUCUCCUGUUUCUCACAGUGUGCUGAAUAGCCCCGCACUGCCUCAAAUACAGGCGGUGGAUAACAAGAGCCCCACCAAGACACCACAAGAUGCCUAUGUCUUCCCUUCACCCAAAAUUAAAGGACAUAGUUCCACUUUCUCACACAUCAUUCCAUGAGAGGAGAGAUGGGACUGAUAAAGUUUGAACCACCGAACAAUGGCUCACAAUAGAUUGUAGUCCACUUCUUAAAGGAAUAGCUCACACCGAAAUGAAAAUUUGCUGAAAAUGUGCUCACCUUCAGGACAUCCAAGAUGUAAAUAAGUUUGUUUCUUCAUCAGAACAGAUUUGGAGAAAUGUAGCAUUACAUCACUUGCUCACCAGUGGAUCCUCUGCAGUGAAUGGGUGCCGUCAGAAUGAGAGUCCAAACAGCUGAUAAAACGUCACAAAAAUCGAGACCUUAUAAAGUAAAAAAACUGCAUGUUUGCAAUAAACAAAUCCAUUAUUAAGAUGCUUUUAAUAAUUAUCUUUAAUAAUUAAUUAAUUAAUUAAUUUUCUUUAACUUUCUCUUGUGAAAAUGUUGUCUUUUCUGAAUCAGGAGUGAAAUAUGCACAAAUCAAGCACCGUUUACAAGCAAAAAUACACUAAAACUCCAAAACAGUUCUUCACACAUAGUUGUUGGAUUUUAAUGUGAGAGGACAAGAGGAUGGACAUUUUCACUAUUUAAUUUAUUAUGGACUUCGUGAUUAUGGACUUCUUUUGGCCAGAAGCGACGAUUAAAACAACAUUCCUUGAUGGAUUUUUUUUCUUACAAACAAAGUUUUCGCUUCACAAUAUGUUAAUUGUUUGACUGGAAUCAUGGAUUAUUGUGAUGUUUUCAUCAGCUGUUUUGACUCUCAUUCUGACGGCACCCAUUCACUGCAGAGGAUCCACACAUGGUGAGCAAGUGAUAUAAUGCUACAUUUCUCCAAAUCUGUUCAGAUGAAGAAACAAACUCAUCUACAACUUGGAUGGCUUAAGGGUGAGUAAAUUUUCAUUUUUGGGUGAACUAUUUCUUUAAGCUUAAAUCCCUCCCUUUAAAAUCAACUAAGAAACUUUUGGCUUCUUUGAUCAAUGCCCAAUGAUGGUGCUGUCUGUAUUUACCACAGUACCUAAACUUUUCUAUUUGACUGCAAAAGCUGGGCCUCAACCUGUGGAGCAUAUGAGGAUGAGUGGCCUGUCCUCAAAAUAAGUGCUGUUGACCCUAAAUGACCUCAAUAAGCGGAGAGCCAUGUCAGUCCAAGCCGCAUUACCUGGGCGUGUUUGCCCGGUAAUAUAGGGACAAAGUGAGAGACUGCACAAUCACUUCUGUAGGAUUGUGCCAAUUCAGGAGCAGCCUUCCUCCUGAAGCCAAAAUACAUCCUCAGAACAGAUUCAGUGCAACGCAGGAUAACCAGCAUAUAUAUAUAUAUAUUUCUUCUUUUCUUUUCUUUUUUGCCGUUUAUGGAUUUGCACAGAAUUAAUACUAAACCUGUGGCUAAUUUUGUAGGGAAGUUAAACUGGAUUGGAUUUAGAAUCCAAAGUGUUAUUGUCAAGGUUUAUUAACCAGUGGCUCUAUUCUAAAAAAAAAAAAAUUCUCCAAUGUAUAUAUUGUAUGUGUGUUCAGGCUCCAAAAUUAACACUCGCAAACAACAAAUAAGUAAAAAUGGGUUAGAUAUUUUAAUCGAUUAAUAUUUAAAAAAUAUCUUUAAUAAAAUGAAACAUAUGGCUUCAUGGUCAGUAAAAUAUGUUAUAUAUUUUAUUAAUUUCAGCCUUAAAAAUAAAGGUUCUUUAUUGGCUUCCAUGGUUCCAUGAAGAACAUCCAUGGAAACUUUCCAUUGCACAAAAGGCUAUUUAGAGUGGAAAAUAGGUUAUUUAGAUUAUUAAAAUAUUCUUCACACUAAAGGAAAAAAUGGUUCUUUUAAGAACUGCAAAACAUUCAUUUUGGACUGUGGGUGUGUGUGUGUGUGUUUACACACUUUCUUGCUUCUAUUUCAGUUGUGUUUAAGGUGUGCUGAAUGUGAUGUUAAGUAUUGCACCAUUACAGGAUCAGCUUAACUGACUAGCUGGUUAAGAGCAAGAAUUAAAGUGUUUAGAAAGGAUAUCAGAUUAGACUCCUCUUUUUGCCCUGUGAGUUAAACUGAGAGAGAACCAGUGACAGAUAUGGCAGACACAUCCACUCAUAUUUUAUAUAUAUCUAGUGUUGGAUUUUUUUAAAAUGUUGUCUAUGAUAUGGAUAUGGUUUCCUCUUGAAGUAUUAAAGUUAUUUUAUGCAUAUGUAUGCUUUCUGUAUAAACACGCUGUACUUGUUAAUCUAUGGACUUAAAUGACAUCUGAAUGCUGGUGACCUCAUCUGUUCACCUGUUUAGAUAACUGGCGCGGACUGUUACUAUUACCAAACCACGUUUAU
ensembl:lncRNA